rnacentral:tRNA from 2 species
GCCAGCGUAGCUCAGUUGGAAGAGCAGCGGUUUCGUAAACCGCAGGUCAGCAGUUCGAAUCUGCUCGCUGGCU